rnacentral:rRNA from 1 species
AUUGAACGCUGGCGGCAUGCUUUACACAUGCAAGUCAAACGGCAGCGCGGGCUUCGGCCUGGCGGCGAGUGGCGAACGGGUGAGUAAUGCAUCGGAACGUGCCCAGUAGUGGGGGAUAGCCCGGCGAAAGCCGGAUUAACACCGCAUACGACCUGAGGGUGAAAGCGGGGGACCGAAAGGCCUCGCGCUAUUGGAGCGGCCGAUGUCGGAUUAGCUAGUUGGUGGGGUAAAGGCUUACCAAGGCGACGAUCCGUAGCUGGUCUGAGAGGACGACCAGCCACACUGGGACUGAGACACGGCCCAGACUCCUACGGGAGGCAGCAGUGGGGAAUUUUGGACAAUGGGGGCAACCCUGAUCCAGCCAUGCCGCGUGCGGGAAGAAGGCCUUCGGGUUGUAAACCGCUUUUGUUCGGGAAGAAAUCCUCUGGGCUAAUACCCCGGGGGGAUGACGGUACCGGAAGAAUAAGCACCGGCUAACUACGUG